AGAUGAAGAACGUAGCGAAAUGCGAUAAGUAAUGUGAAUUGCAGAAUUCAGUGAAUCAUCGAAUCUUUGAACGCACCUUGCGCCCUUUGGCUAUUCCGAAGGGCGUGCCUGUUUGAGUAUCAUGAACACCUCAACUCUUCACGGCUUGCCGUGAUGAGUUUGGACUUUGGGGGUCUUGCUGGCCUACGAGCCAGCUCCUCUCAAAUGUAUUAGCUUGCCGGUGUUUGGUGGCAUCACAGGUGUGAUAACUAUCUACGCUUGUGGUUUUCCACUAGGUAACCUUCAGCAAUGGAGGUUCACCGGAGCUCACAAAUGUCUCUCCUUGCCAAGGACAGAUUUUGACCAUUUGAUCUCAAAUCAGGUAGGACUACCCGCUGAACUUAAGCAUAUCAAUAAGCGGAGGA
rnacentral:misc_RNA from 1 species